CUCAUACAAUGUUAGCUCUCUAAUAUUGUUUGAUUGUCUAGUCUCUAGUGUUUCUCAUGAGCCCACACUUUAUUUGCUUUAUUUACUUCGUUUGUUUUGAUCAAGUCUUGCUAUGGAAUCAAAAGAGAGUAUACAAUUCAAUUAUUUAUCCUCUGCUAAUAUGCUCUCUAUUACUUCAAUUUGUCUCAAUGGAAGGAACUAUGCACAGUGGGCUUAAGCUAUUGAGGCCUUUCUACUUGGAAGGAAAAUUUUCACCAUCUGACUAACGAUCUACCUUCUACUACAAAUAUUAAGUAGCUUAUUAGAAAGUUGAGAAUGCACAGAUUAGGAGUUCUUUAUGGAACGACAGAGUUUAAGAUAAGUUGUUGUUUAUUCAUUCACUGCAAAAAAUUGUGUGGAAACAGGCUUAGGAACUGCAUUCUAGUGUCAAUAAUUUUUUUUUUUAAUUUUUUUUUUAAAGUAAGAAAGAUGUUAAUUGAAAAAGCUACUUUAUGCAAAAAGUGCACAAAGCAGUCCAAAAAUUACAAGGAAAAAUAAAAAAGAAUAAAGAAGAAAAUUAAUUACAAAAAAGGAGAGAACUUAGGAACAAAGGGAAGGAGUCACCAAAUGUGAGUCCCCAAUAAUCUUAAAUGCAUUUAUGAUCUUCAUUAGAAUUACUUCUCCCAUGCUCUAAAUUAUUUCUCUUUGGAAGAUUAUUGCAUUUAAUUUAAGGAUAUAUGAGAAGAGUUCAAUCUUUACAAGCUUAUCUUUGCUGAUGUUAAAACCAUGUAAAAACAAAGAGAUCAUAUGCAUGUAGCUCAAUUUUUUAUUUUUUUCUAGUUUGUCUCUGGCCUUUGAUCUAGUGAAGUCACAGAUUAUGGUAAGGACCUUCUUUGAGUGAAGCAUUUGGUUGACUUAAGUAGACCUCCUUAUGUGAUUUUAAUACAGUUACACUGACUCGUAAUAAACCUGCCUUUGUCUCUAUGGGGUGUGUUAGAUUUUCUAGGUGUGGUCUUGGAGGACGUGGGGUCAUGAGUAAGGGGAAGAAGGUUGUGGUAGAAGACUUGGUUCCCUAAAAUGCACUUACUAUCAUUCUGAGCAUCAGAUGGUAGACUUCUGUUGGGAUCUUUAUGGGAAACCACUACUAACCAAGUUACUCUUGAAGAGGAGGAGAAUGCUUAAGUGUCUCCUAUACUGACCUCAACCACCAGCAUACUUUCCAUUCUUGGGGAAGAGUAGUCACAUUUUGUCUCUGCAAUUUCAUUUUUUUGUGUCUUUUGCUACUACUCCAGUUCAGAUAAAUACUCCCAUUGCUUGUCUUGCCACCCAAGAACCCUAUGUCAUUGAAUUGGGUGAGAUUAAUCAUAUGACUGGGAUUUUUUAUAUCUUGAGCAACUAACUAGUCUUUUUUGCACUACUUUGGUAGAUGGCUCUGCCAGUUAUGUUUCUGGUUUGGAAAUAUUAACCUUACUUCCACUUUUUCACGAUCUUCAGUCCUAUAUUUUCCUUAAUUUACAUUUAGUCUCAUUUUUGUAAGUAAACUGGUGUUGCAAUAUUCUUACCUUUGUAUUGCAUCUUUUAUGAUCUCUCACGGUUAGAUGACGGUUAGAUUGGUGGCAGACUUUAUUAUCUUGAUUUAUGCAACUCUUCCUGUUCAAGUACCCUUUAUUCAUCCGUUUCUUCCCUUUAGCAUCAUUGUCUUCUCAGUCAUCCUUCUCUUUAGAUCCUGAAGCUGUUAGUUCCUUCAUGUCAUCAAGUUGUGUCCAUGCAAUGUGAAGCGUUUUAAUUGAGGAAGCAUCAUAGAUUGUCCUUUGUGUCUAAGAGUGAGUUGUGUCAAUAAUUUUUUUCACUUAGUACAUCAGAUAUUUGGGUUCCAAAAAGGCAAUGAGGGUCCCAUCAUAUUCUCUUUGUAUACGUCUUGUGCACUUGGGCUAUGCCUGUUUUUCUUUAAUGAAAUUUAGUUUUACUUAUAUAUAUAUAAAAAAUAAAAACAUCAAAAAUAAAUAAAAGAUUCCCAUCAUAUUUGGGCUUUAGGUAUUUUGUAAUUUUUUUUGAUACUUCAAUUUGUAUCUUUAUAUUUGAUAAUGUGCGUUUAUAUUUGAUGCAAUUUUUUUUCUCAAUUUCUUGAUGGUCACGGCAUGCAAUGCAUAAUUCAUUUAUAUGUUUACAUACAAUGAAAUGGUGUGCAAAAGUGUAAGUUGAGACAUUUUUUGGAGAAUACCUGUGCACUUUUAUUCCAUGGUAGUUUUCCAAAAUCAUAUUGGAGUGAUGCAGUGCCAACAGCCUCUUAUCUUAUCAAUUGCAUGCCUUCCGUUGGCCUUGGUGCUUAUAUCCCAAGUAUUAUCUUGUCUCCUGGUAAACUAAAGUCUUGUUCCAUUUAUCUCCUAAGCUUUUUGGGUGUAUUUUCUAUUUUCACAUCUUAGGUCUAGGAGAUGAUAAACUUGAUCCUAGAUCUCUUAGUGUAUUUUUCCUAGGUACUCUUGUACUUAGAAGGGAUACAAGUGUUAUUCCCUUACUCUUUGCCAUCAUUUUUUAGUGUUGAUAUCACCUUCCUAGAACUAUUCCCAAAAAACUAUUUCUAGUGUAUAGUCCUUAGCGACCAAGUCCCAUUGAGAAUUUUCCCUAAUUUGGAAUCCACUUCUUGAUUGCGAUUCUCUUCCUACUAUGCUGCAUAAAGAUAACUUUACUUGUACUUGUCAUCCGAUUUCCUGGUUUGUAAUAUUUGUCUCCACCUUUUGGUGCUUUUAUUUCAUGGGUAAAUUAUAGGGUCGAUUUUGGUCUCAAAUUUAACAAAUUUUGAUUUGGUCUUUGAAAUUUAAAAAAGGGUACAAUAUCCAAAAAAGAAGAAGAAAAGAAUAAUGUCUUAUAAAAAUUAACACAUCAUUCAUAUUAUAUUAUAUUAUUUUUCUUUAUUAUUACAUUUUAAAGGUGAAAGCCACCACUUGUUAAAAAAGAAAAAAACCCAGCGUUGAUUAACAAAAGAAAAAAAAGACACUAUUUGAUUCAAAGAAGAAAAAAAAAAAAAAAAAAAAAAAAAACAAAUUUAAAGAUGUUGAAACCAUAGCUUCCUUGAGAUACACGUGGAAAAAAAGGAAAAGAAAAAGGAACAACGUUAAGUACGCAGACAAAGUGGAGAGGGAGUGGCAGAUUUGGUGUUUUCUCUCUUACCCUACUCCUCAUUUUCUCUCCUAAAAUCACCCCAAAUUGGGGAGAUAAGAUUUUGGUGGGUCUGGAGAGAAAAUACCUAAGCCUAGCCAAAAUCUCUCCAAUUUUCCACCCCAACCAAACAACCCAAAAAACCCUUUUCUCUCCCCCAUUUUCUAUCCUCCCUGUUUUCACCCCAACCAAAUGGACCCUAAGUCUAUCCAAGAGUCUUUAUCAUCUAUUCCAGGCUGGAGGAAAACAUUCCAUUAGAAUGAUACAUGGGACAUAGUUCCUCUUCCAUCCAGAAAAAAAAACUAUUGUUGGUUAUCACUGGAUGUAUACUGUGAAGAACUGCUGGACAGUUCUCUUGUGCAUUUGAAGGCUCAAUGUGUUCCUCCCAUUCUUGAGUUUUUGAAAUUUUAAUUUUAUUGCUUCCCUUUCUAUGUUGUUAAAUAUAUCUAUGUCUCACAAUUGAUGAUUAUAGGUUUCUAUAUUAAUAUGAGCAUUGUUUCUUUGCUGCAACUUAUGGUCAUGCACAACUUAUGGUUUCUUUGCUGCAAGAUAUGCAAGAGAGUGAUCAAAGAAUGACGAUGUUACAAUUGAAAGACAAAAUGAAAAUAAAAGCACAAGGAACUAGAUCUGUGCAAGAGUCAGAUUUCCAGCUGGGUUGAAGUGUGGUUUGAAUUAUCUAAAAGGCAAAGGAUUAAAGAUCAUCAGUAAGGUUCUGAACUGAAGCGAGAGGAAACAGAACAACUUGUCAUAAAGCUUAUAUUAGAUCGUAUAUUGAAAGAAGAAUUUCAGCAUACAGCUUAUGCCAUAAAUGCUUAUGUAACAUUGGGCCAUUUGCCAAGCAAGUCUUACGCGGAAAGAAAAAUGUGAAACACGACAUUUCUAGCGGAGAGAAGAAUACGGCUAGUCUGAAAUCAGCCAAAUGCAGUCUUGCAUCCUCUGUUUUGGAGUUCAAGCUUGAUGGGCUACGGAAAGAAGUGUCUUCGAUCCUUGGAAAAAUAUCCCCUCAUUCUGUCCUGUCUACUUAACAAAUCAUUGGAAAAAAUCAUUGGGAAAUUGAAGACAGGAAGUAUGGAAGUAUAAUUCUUGAACAAAUUGUGAAGUACCGCGAUUGUGUUCAGGGAAGUCUGAAAUAGAGGCACCAAACGGCGGAAACCAAAAAAGGAUCUCGUUCUUAUUGGAAGCAGUGAUGACGAAGCAUGAGAGGAACAGUAAUUUAUAAAUUGAAAGAGGAUCGGUAAUUUAGAAAUUAAAGAGGCGAUUUUUCAUCAUUAUUAAUAUAAUUCUUAUUACCUAUAUAAAAAAAAAAAAGGACUAUGAACACUCUCAUAUAUGUUUAUAACUUGAAUAUUUAUUUGAGACAGUUAGGUGAUCUUGAUUGUUGUUAAA